rnacentral:lncRNA from 1 species
ACCGAGAGCUUCGUGUAAACGAUCCACAGAGGCCAGACACGCUGUGUGGCUGCAUCACGAUGAUCAGACUCUCUCGACAGUGAUCAGAUUGUGACGAUCUACUAUCCGCACAAAGGUAUUGUGUUCUGAAUACAUUACAGUAAAGUGUUUACUGUUCGAAUUUGAAUUUCAAAUUUAAAUGAAUGCAUGCUAUAUAUCAUAUUUAGAUCCUAGUGUAG